UUUUGUGUUUUCAGUAGAGACAGGGUUUCACCUUUUUGGCCAGGCUGGUCUCGCAUGAUCCACCCGCCUAGGCCUGGGGCUCCUGUUCUUGUUUGGCGCAGCUGCUGCUGGCUGCCUCCUUCUGGUUUCCAGCUGUGCCUGAACCAGCUCGCCCCACUUCAGUGGUGGCAAAGUGCUCUUCCUGGGGGCGGGCAGCCCAGGACCCACAGCUGGGCCCCCGUAGGCUUCAGCAGCUCUGUGUGAGCAGCCCUGGCCCCGGCCCGGUGCUGGAGGCAGUGUCCUCCCCAUUCCGAUGUCACAGAGGAAACAAAUGCGAACCGCCCAGCAGUGGCCCCCAAAUAACUCAGCCUGAGCUGAACCCGAGGGUUCUUUGUAGGAUUUAAGUGGCGCCAUUUCUGUCAGACAGAAAAUAAACUAAAUUUAUGGUGUUUGAAAAGCAUCAGAGUUGAACGAGAUCAUGGCAUCCGGAGCCGCUUGAGAGCCGCAGUGAUUGAGGGCUGGGCAGAGGCGAUGCGGCUGGGGACGGGCCAGGAAUGUCGGCCGUCGCCCCAUCCAGGGAGCACAGGGCGCCCUUCCCAGGAAAUUCAACCCUGUCAAGCUCUGAGGCCUUCGGCGCAUUUAGCUGUUGAAGGAAGACCCACCAUGGAGGGCUCCAACCAGCAUUUUCACAUUCACAGUGAGGCCAGCCCGUUCCCGCUCCCACCAGCCCAUUGCAGGCCAGAGAAAAGCCAGACGCCUGCUCCACGUCCCUCGCACGCUUCUCCACUCUUCACAACAGGCAGCCUGGCCAGCCCCUUCUCACCUCCCUGGGCACUGCGGCUGCAACCCCAGGCCUGGCAAGGUCACGGUGACCUCCACACCGACCCAUGCAAUUCCAGGCUUCCCAUCACCCCUGAGAAGGUCAAAGGCCCGGGUUGCUCAGCCAGGCUGCUCCUUCCACCAUCCCCUCUCAGUUUCCUUUGGCUCACUCCCCUGUGGCCCAGCCCCUGGCUCUGUGGCCCGUGCUCUAGGCCUGCUCCUGCCCCAGGGCCUUUGCGCUCCCCACCCCCACCUGGGUGCCUGGAUGGCCACAAGUGCCUUCACCCUUCAAGAGGCUCACCCCGUGCUCAACGUAAAAUCACACCAGGGCCCCGGCCUCCAGCGUGCUGCUCUGCCUCUCCCGCCCCCACCCCCGGCUUGCUCUUUGCACCCCUGCCCUGCUCUCCUGCCAGCCAGGGCUCCUGGAGCAGGGGUUCUGCAUGCGGGUUUGCUGUUUCACCACCUCAUCCAGGCACCCAGAACUGUAGACGCACACGGGGCUCACAGUUCAUCACUCACGGCAGAGGGGAAGGCAGGUGAUGAGCGGGCGGUGUCCAAAGCCUCAAAGCUGUCAGUGAGUCUCCAAAUGGUUUUAUUUGAACAUAACAUUAAAAGUCUAAGUUGUGGCUUGGGCUGAAUUAGAAGGUACAGCUCCACACGCACAUGCACACGUGAACAUAUGCCACACGCAAGAACAUACCCUCCACACCCACACACAUGUGCAGACACAUCUGUGAACACACCACAGACACACAUGUGCACAUAGGAUACACUGCACACACACGCACCCUCCCCCAUGGGCUCCUGGCAGCAGGGGCUGUUCCUAUCGCUCGGGUGCUUGCCCCACCUGGAAACUGUCCAGUUGUCACCAACUCACUUCUAAGCCAUCUAUCGGGGCUUCCCAGCCUUAACCCCAGACUGCACGCUCAGCCUCUCCCUAUCCAGCCUGGCGUGCAGGGCAUGAUGUGAAAAGGUUCAGCCCCUCCCUGUCCCUUCUUUCCCCCACGUCUAGGCUGUCCUCGCCAGGCCAUGGACUUCUGCUGUUGCCCUGCUCGGCUCCUUUCCUCCUCCUCCCCGUAAAACGUGGGACUCACCCUGGCAGGAACUCCCCAAGUAGCGGGGUGGAGUUCCAGCCCGAUGAGGGGGAGGACACAGAACCGGGUCUGAGCCAAUCAGCAUAGCAAUAGGCUCGGGGAGCGACGCAUGGCCCAGUCAGAGCCAGGAGAGGGUGGCUGGGCUCUGGGAGACAGGACGUGAGGCUGGAGCGGUUGCAGCCUCUUGCAGACAGUGGAGGCUCAGGCUAAGCCCGCAAGGCCAAGAGGAGCGUGGAGAGCUGGCAAGACGCUGGCCCGAUGACAUUGCCUGAGCAAUGAAUCCUACUGGCCAAUGCCAGGACUUCCUCAAGCCUCGUCAUUGCAGGGACACUUCCCUCCCUUCCUCCGUCUCUCUCCCCACUGCCUCUCUGUCUAGCUUGAGCCAAUUUGAGAUGGAUUUUCUGUCACUUGCUGUUGAAGGAGUCCUGCUCCAGCCCAGGUGGAUUUCGUGCAAAUGAAACCCACAGUAUUCAGGUCUGUGUGGAAGCACUCGCCUAUGAUCGGCGCGUGCCCUUUGCCUUGUGAACAGGAGCCGUGAGUGAUACGAGCGCCUUGGCUGGGCUGCCAGUGUCCAUCUGAGGUCCGUCUGUGGGUGAGAUGCUGUGUGUGCAUGUGCGUGUGCCCAGGUGUGUGUGUGGGAGAAGGGGGAGCUGGAUCCCAGGCCUGAGAAGGCUCUUCCUGCUUCAAGAGUCCAGGGCUGCCUGGCAUCGAGCGGGCUCUGCCCCACAGGUCCCAGUGAAUCAUACUGCAGCAGGAAGCCACGGAUCCCAGUGAAUCCACACUGCAGCAGGAAGCCACGGGUCCCACUGAAUCCACACUGCAGCAGGAAGCCACGGGUCCCACUGAAUCCACACUGCAGCAGGGAGCCACGGGUCCCACUGAAUCCACACUGCAGCAGGAAGCCACAGGGCGGGAACCUCAGCUUUCUGGUUUGACUUCCAUGAACCAAGGACAAGACUGGCUUGAAGUUGUGCCCAGAGAGGCCUGCAAAGCUGCUUCAAAGGCAAAGACCACCCAGUGCGAGUGUGUCCCCCUUGAGCUCGCCCGAGGAUCCCCCUGCCCCUGAGACAUUUCCUUCCCAGGGCACAGACCCCAGGCCUGGACGGAGCCAGGCAUGCGUGAAACGGGAAGAUGUCAGUUGGGGAACCGGCUGCAGCUCCCACCCCUUGAUGAGGAGCAAAACCUGGUAGCUGCCCCUGCGGAAAAGCCACACGGCUCCCCACACGUCUCCACAGUGGUGCCUGGCUUCUCCCAUCCUCAAUGUCCACGUUCCCCACUUCUCAUCACAGACCCGACACGCAGGAGGCUUUAGACAGAGCACCUUCGUCAGGAAGCUGGACUAGGCUGAGGUACCUGCUCUCAGCUCCUCAAAGUGCCAUCCACUAAAUCCACCCACGUGGGACAAGAUGCAGCUUCCGUGGCUGCUUGCAGGGGAUGGAAGACUCCCACAGACACCUGCUAACAUCACAUGCCCGCGUGUCACCGUGAUGCCACGUCCAGUCUGAGCCAUUCCUCGCCCAUAUCCCUGUCCUUGUUGCAUAGCCAGCCUCCAGCGUGUGGCUUCGUGCAGCGACCAGACUGUUGUGUGACUUUCUGCCACCGUUGCCAGGGUUGGCACUGAGGCAGACCUGCUGGGGGGUUCU